UUCGGAUUGUAGUCUGCAACCCGACUACAUGAAGCUGGAAUCGCUAGUAAUCGCAGGUCAGCAUACUGCGGUGAAUACGUUCCCGGGUCUUGUACACACCGCCCGUCACACCAUGGGAGCCGGAAAUGCCCGAAGUCGGUGACCCAACCGCAAGGAGGGAGCCGCCGAAGGCAGGUCCGGUAACUGGGGUGAAGUCGUAACAAGGUAGC
rnacentral:rRNA from 1 species